rnacentral:misc_RNA from 1 species
UUCUAUGUUAACAAUUAACAUGCCUAACAUAUGGUUAAAACCCUUGUAACCCUAAUUGGCAUUUAAACCUAAUUUUCUAUUAAGAAACUUAAAAUUAAGAACAACCCUAAACUACUUAAAAAAGAGUUUAGGGAUUUCUUUCCCGAUGGGGUGUAGAAUUAAAUUCUACCCUCUAGGAAGCUAAAUCUCCGAGUGUAAAUCUCUAGUCCAUCCACACAAACUAUGUGAUCGAGAUUGCCCAACCUUUGAACCGCAAAACCUUUUUAUGUCUCUCAUUUGGUUAGCCACUAAAAACACAAGAAAAAAGGUCCAACUCUUGAGUAACAAUAUGGGUAGGUAGAAAAACAAUUUCUCAACCUUUCAAUCUCAAGGUGACAACUUCUAAUAUCCUUGAGAUUAGAAGAAGCAAGGAAGAAGAAAGUUGUUAAAAGUAAAAUCUGAUAAAGGAUAGAUUUGUUGGGUAUCCUAAAAGAAGUUUAGGAUAUUAUUUCCAUCUCCUGCUAAAUAAAAAGUUGCUAUAAGUGAAGUCAUUGUUCUUGAGAAAAUAGUGUAACACCACGAACCUCUGACCUAUAAAUAGUACUAUUUUUGGUCUGUGACUAGUACUAUUCAAAGA